UGUCCCUUCCCUUUUAUAAUAUUCUAACAAAACUUCUUUCUUUCCCUUUGAAGCAGGGGUGUCUCUUGGUUCAUAAGAGAUGGUUUAUAAAUAACACCUACUAUUUUGAACAGAAAAUUUUAAGAGGCAACCCAAUUCCGUCAUUCCAACUGGAAGAAGUAUGGGGACAGAGACAGGAUCUAACACACAUUUGCAAAAAAGCAUGCUGUAUAUAAUGGACUGAAAACAGACAGAAGUGGAAACAGGGAGUCCUGAUGUCUUCUGAAUGUACUUCUUCGUCCCCCAAAUAUUAAUACUCUUUUUCACCAAAAUUAGAAACCACUGAGUGAACGCUAUUGGUAUCAAUAACAAGGAAAAUCUGUGACUGUGGCUGCUCAGUGCUCAGUAAAGGCAAUCUUCUGGCAUGAAACAAGGCCAGAAGUCAGUUAAAAAGAAUGAUGCAAAAUUUCUUAAAAACCUCGCCAGAGAAUGAACAUGAAAAAUAGAGGGCAAAAUAACAUUGUCAAAUUUGCUUUCCAUUUUAGAACUCAAGGCAAGACAAAAGUCACCUUGGGAAUAGUAGACAAUGUUUCCAUUGCUUUUCACUAAUAUGGCAGAAAAAAAUUAAUGUUUCAGGCAUUCAAGAGUGACAAUUGUCUUUCAGACAGUUGGAAAGGACUUGAAAAAAACAUUUGUUGGAAUAAAUGGAAUGUGCCUUGGCUUCUGUGGUCAAAAUUUCUGGGACUCAGCUGAAACAAGAUUCUGGCUUAAGACUUAUAUGGUUUUCAUCACCCUAUAAACAUUAACAUUAUUGAUGCAGAUCUGUCGCUUGAAAUAUUUUACCCAUAUCCUCCACUGCAAGGAAUUUUCUUUUUACCCAUUCAUCUCUAGUGACAAAUUUGUGGCACUUACAAAUUUAAAAGGCUGUCAAAAUCUAAUAAUGAAACCUUGGGGGGAGUCAUAUGGGGGCACAGAUCAGAAAGAACCAAAAUUAAUUUCAGAGGAUUUACUACAUAGGUUAGGGGUCACCAUAAGGUGAAUUUCACUCUACAAUGUGAAAUCUACAGAAGCAAUACCUUCCCAGAAGUAAAGAAGUGGUAGAAAAGGAAGUAGUGCUAGUCAAGGCAUGGAACAAAGUGAGAAACUCGUUACAGAAAGCAAUGCAUAGACAGCAUAGAAAACCACAUGUCGUCAGUGACUUGAAACCAUGCCAUACUUGUUUUAAUAAUGGCUAGUUCUAAAAAUCAGAUAUACUUUUCAACUAUUGAUAGCUCACCUGGGAAACUAUCCAUCUUAACAGGAAUUGAAUUUAAAGGCUUGAGUUCUACAAAUCUUCCCUAGAAAGUGUAACAAAAAUAGAAAGAUAAUUUAAAAAGAAAAAAAGGCCGGGACAUUCCCCCCUGCCUAAACCUCCAUGGUACCUGGUACUAGAGAAAGUCCAGUGGCUGGGAACAUGUGUUCCUCAAGGCCUUAGUCUAGGUGUCUUGAGGAAGGAAAGUCAGAAGGAAGAGGCUGCAGGCUGGUACAUCACGCAGAGGACACAGAUGAGGAAGGUGCUCAUGAACCAGGCGGAACCUCUGGAGAAGCUCUGGCCUGGGAUACGCCAGAGACCAUACCGGAAUAAGACCUGGGGCAUUCAUUCUGAGUCAGACUAUAAAACAGUUGCCUUCUGUGAGAGGUAAAAAUUAACGUGCCAGGACUCUGGGCAGGCUGAUUUCACAUAAAAAGGAGAUGGUUCAGGACAGCA